GUAGAAGCACCAUUCCCAUACCCAGGGCCACGGAAAGAAACCAGAAUUAGUUUUACACUUUGCUGGCACCCUCUACAUCCAUCUAAACUCAUGGAAAAGCCUGAAAUGAUCCAAAGCAAGCCAAAUUUUCUGGAAGCCCCAAGAUCCCGUUGCAGGAGCCGCUGCCCUUUGGAUGUUCUGAAACUUCCCAGCUCCCUCUGGUCCAGGGCACAAAUAAUCCCACGUCCUUGAGGGAGCUGUGGAUGGGUGGGAAUUCUCAGGCGACAGGAAUUUGGGAGCUGCAAUCCAAGCAGGCCUGGGGCAUUUGUUGUCCAGUUUGAUACUGGAGGCAGCUCAGGGUGGCUGAUCAGCAAAGGGCCAUCACAG